UUUCAUUUUUGAAUAACAUUUUUCUUGAGGUGUAACAUUUAAAUCCAAUAUCAUAGUUGGUUGCAACUCUGCCGAUAUAUUGGGACUUAAAUUCUAAAAGCACGAGUUCAUUUCGUCGUGCAGAAGGUUUUUUAUAUUUCUAGUGUUUUUCUUGUGCUACUAAGAAUAUAUAAUGGCUAAAGGAUUUUGCCUGAAGAAAAAGAAAUUCCAGCAAAAGCGAAAAAUUAAGCUGGAUAAGUAUUUUAACUGUGCGAUAUGUAAUGGGCAAAAAUCAGUGUCCAUCGAUAUGCGCAAACAGUUGAACAGGGCUAUAUUAAGUUGCCACAUUUGUAACGUCACCCAUCAGGUAAAAAUUAAUUACUUGAGCGAGCCCAUAGACGUUUACUGCGAAUGGUGCGAUGGGCUCCAAUCAAAUUCAGAUUCAUAACUUACACUCAAGCCAUAAGUACUGAGGAAAAUCAUUGUCACCUGAUUUUUUCCAACUAAACUGAGUAAUGGAAGGUGUUUAUGGCUUUAUAAUAUAAUAAACAAAAAAAAAAAUACUCAAAUGUUACCUUCUAGGAACAUAAGAAUAUGCAAAAAAAUUAAAAAAAAAACAAAAAAAAAUAUGUACAACAUCAUACAACAAUAUAUUGAAUAGAAGCAGUAAAUGAAUAAAUUUAUUUCCAAUAAGGAUACUAUUACACAGACGUUCGUUUUUGGUACUUCAAACGGCUGACUACAACAGACAAUAUUAAAGAGUUUAUAUAUAUAUGGACAACUCUCUACCUAUUAUAGACAACAUUACGAAUACAUGGAAUAAUCUGAUGUCGCCGGUUAUAAACUCUUUUACUUGCAAAAUUUUUCUGUCAUAGUACCAAGGAAGUGAAUCUAUCUAUAAUAUUUCUUCAUUAACUAUGUAUAUAGUUUCAGUGCUUGCUUUAUUUCAAUCGAAUUAUUUUUUACCAUCAUAUCUGACAUUAAGAUUUUUAUAACAUUUUUAAAAACCAUUUUUAAACUACAA